UACAGAGGGGGCAAGCGUUGUCCGGAUUUACUGGCGUAAAGGGCGCGUAGGCGGUCAGCACAAGUCAGUUGUGAAAUCUCCGGGCUUAACUCGGAAAGGUCAACUGAUACUGUGCGACUAGAGUGCGGAAGGGGCAACUGGAAUUCUCGGUGUAGCGGUGAAAUGCGUAGAUAUCGAGAGGAACACCUGCGGCGAAGGCGGGUUGCUGGGCCGACACUGACGCUGAUGCGCGAAAGCCAGGGGAGCGAACGGG
rnacentral:rRNA from 1 species